UCUCUCCCCUUCUCUCUGUCUUUCUCUCUCCCUCUCUCUCUCUCAGUACCUCUAAAACAAUCUGUUCCCAAAGGUAGUAUACGGUCUGUCUCAGAAUACAACUGCCAUUUGGGUGCCAUUUGGGACAAUACCCUAGAUAUAAAGGCAGGCAGAUGAUGAACCUGUACUGUUAGUGGAGGUUAAUGGGACUGUACUGUUCGUGGAGGUUACUGGGACUGUAGUGGAGGUUACUGGGACUGUACUGUUAGUGGAGGUUACUGGGACUGUAGUGGAGGCUACUGGGACUGUAGUGGAGAUUACUGGGACUGUAGUGGAUGUUACUGGGACUGUACUGGAGGCUACUGGGACUGUAGUGGAGAUUACUGGGACUGUAGUGGAGAUUACUGGGACUGUAGUGGAGGUUACUGGGACUGUAG